rnacentral:misc_RNA from 1 species
UACCAAAACAAACUCGAUGACUUUAGGGGGGGGGGUGUGGUGGUGGGGCGAAAGAGGGGGAAGGGAGUGCACCUAGCAUCUAAAUAGCACUACUUCCAAGGAACCAAAUAGAACAAACGUCUAAUAAAAAUUGCCACUACAAGUCCAGUCCAGAAAACUUAAAAGAGAAUUAAGAAUAAAAAUAAAAUAAAAUAAAUCAAGUACCAUUUCUCCCUCUUGAAUGUUUCG